CGAAUAGGUUCCGAAGCCUGUUCCCACGCCGCUCUGCUGGCUACCUUGGUGGUAGAGGGCGACCAGCUCCUAAGAUUCCCUUCUUCGGGGGAAGGAACGGACAAGGACGGAUCGCGAGGGACUAUUACAACCCAGGAUUCUUCUAACAAGCUCAUUGUGAUGAUGCAAUAAUAUUAGUAUCGAAGCCGACGCAAUUAUGACAACAAUUAAAUUUAAAUUAUUCGAUGAAGAUGUAUUUGUAGAUAUAUUGUAUGUACUGCACGAUGUCUCUUUUGACAUAUAGGAAGCGUUAAUUCAUAACAGCUCAUUUAUAUACGAAUCACUUUAUGUGUACUCAUAUGAAAUUAAUUGAAAUAAAAAUCCGUGUAUAAAUAAUGAA